UACGGAGGGUGCGAGCGUUGUCCGGAAUCAUUGGGCGUAAAGGGCGCGUAGGCGGAUCUUUAAGUCGGGGGUGAAAGCCCAGGGCUCAACCCUGGAAUUGCCUUCGAUACUGGAGAUCUUGAGACCGGAAGAGGUAAGUGGAACUGCGAGUGUAGAGGUGAAAUUCGUAGAUAAUUCGCAAGAACACCAGUGGCGAAAGGCGGCUUACGUGG
rnacentral:rRNA from 1 species